UGCACACAGCUGUUUGACGUGAGCAUCUGUAGGUCAUUUCUUCUCUCGUCAGAUCUGUGAAGUGAAAACUCAGAAUAGGACGUGUUGAAGUCCAGGUCUCGAGGAAACACCUGUAGCAUCUGCCUAUCGCGUGUUUUUUAUAUUUUUGAACCAACACCGGGAUGCUGUCAAGCUAAGUGCUAUUGGUGAGAAAAAUGAUCACAGUGUUAAAGGAAUGUCCUUACGUUUUCUUUCUUUCCUGUGUAUGUACGUAACGAUAUAGAGUCUAUUUAAGAACAGGAAGUGUAAUGGAAUAUAUUUAAGCGAAGAGGAAAGAGAAAGAGAGAGUGAGAUUGGAUUUAAAGAAUGGUAGAAGAUAAGAGAAAGGAGGAUGUGAUAACGUCUGGGUGCGAAUCUUGAAUUAGAAUUGUUGUUUUUGUUUUUUUGUUUUUGGAUUCAAGGAUGAAAAUACUUCUUGAGGCUUGAAUUCAAAGGAAUGUUGAUUUAGGGGGAAAGAAAUCUUGUGACGGAAUAUAUAUUAGUAUUGGAUUUUACAUGGCUAACUUACUCUAAAAUUGAAAUUGGAAUAAAUCUAAACAUAUAUAGAGAGAAAAAUAUAGAAAAAAUAUAGAAAAAAUAUAGAAAUAAAAUAGAAAAAAGAUAAUCUGAAAAGUGCUUCUUUUACCAACCUUAAUCAGAUAACUAAA
rnacentral:lncRNA from 1 species